rfam:Daucus carota subsp. sativus cultivar DH1 chromosome 2, whole genome shotgun sequence.
AGCCAUGUGACUUGCACACAGCAAACUGUUUUUUCGCCUUUUACUACAGAAUACUGAGUGCUCACUAACAGUGGCAUAUGCCUAGUUUUGGAGGGGCCUUUUGUACGGAUCC